CCACACAUACAAUUAUCUGUAAGGUCCCUCAUCUCUAUACCCCACACAUACAAUUAUCUGUAAGGUCCCUCAUCUCUGUACCCCACACAUACAAUUAUCUGUAAGGUCCCUCAUCUCUGUACCCCACACAUACAAUUAUCUGUAAGGUCCCUCAUCUCUUUACCCCACACAUACAAUUAUCUGUAAGGUCCCUCAUCUCUGUACCCCACACAUACAAUUAUCUGUAAGGUCCCUCAUCUCUGUACCCCACACAUACAAUUAUCUGUAAGGUCCCUCAUCUCUGUACCCCACACAUACAAUUAUCUGUAAGGUCCCUCAUCUCUGUACUCCACACAUACAAUUAUCUGUAAGGUCCCUCAUCUCUGUACUCCACACAUACAAUUAUCUGUAAGGUCCCUCAUCUCUGUACUCCACACAUACAAUUAUCUGUAAGGUCCCUCAUCUCUGUACUCCACACAUACAAUUAUCUGUAAGGUCCCUCAUCUCUGUACCCCACACAUACAAUUAUCUGUAAGGUCCCUCAUCUCUGUACUCCACACAUACAAUUAUCUGUAAGGUCCCUCAUCUCUGUACUCCACACAUACAAUUAUCUGUAAGGUCCUUCAUCUCUGUACCCCACGGAUAC